UUCUUCAGGACGUCUAAGCCGAUCCUUGGCUGGGAUAUGAGCAAACGUGUACACGAUACUUAUUCCCUGUACCCGUAUUCUCAUAUCUGAGCCAAGGAUCGUCGCAAAAGGCGGUGCUUCCU
rnacentral:precursor_RNA from 14 species